rnacentral:rRNA from 1 species
CAGAACGAACGCUGGUAGCGUGGAUUAGGCAUGCAAGUCGAACGGGAUCCAUGAAGUAGCAAUACGGAUUGGUGAGAGUGGCGGAAGGGCGAGGAACACGUGAGCAACCUGUCCUUGAGGUGGGGAAAACCGUUGGAAACGACGGCUAAUACCGAAUGUGGCGCCCGGAGACAUCUCCGGAGCGCUAAAGGGGGCCCAAAAGGCUCUCCCUCUUCGAGGGGCUCGCACACCAUCAGCUUGUUGGCGGGGUAACGGCCCACCAAGGCUUACGGUUAGCUGGUCUGAGAGGAUGGCCAGCCGCACUGGGACUGAGAUACUGCCCAGACUCCUACGGGAGGCUGCAGUCGAGGAUCAUUCGCAAUGGGGGAAACCCUGACGAUGCGACGCUGCGUGGAAGGAUGAAGGCCUUCGGGUUGUAAACUCCUGUCAUGAUGGAAAAGGAGAGGGGACCCAACACGUCCCUAAUUUGAUGGUACAUCAAGAGGAAGAGACGGCUAACUCUGUGCCAGCCGCCGC